rnacentral:tRNA from 1 species
CCCCGCGUAGCUCAGUCGGUAGAGCAUCAGACUUUUAAUCUGAGGGUCUAGGGUUUGAGACCCUUCGUGGGCG